rnacentral:lncRNA from 1 species
CAAAUGUUCAAGAUUGCUGCUCCGAUUGAACUUCAAAGGAUCAAGAUUGAGGUUUUGGUUGCCUCCCAAGUUGAGGAGAUUGAGGUUUGGCAAAUCAAAAAUGUUUUUUGGGAAUUUUCCUUGCAAAUCACAAAAAGCAAGACUGAGAGACCUUAGAGAAGAGGAUAGAUUCAUGAAGACAUGAGCAUUAACAGAAGACAUGUCCAUUCCAUCCAAAAACAGAUGUCUGACCUCGGUUAGGUUGUGAACAAGUCCCUCCAGAGCAUGUUUGUCAAUUGUUUGUGCAUCACCCCAACAGGAGAGAUCAAGUGAAACCAAUUUUGACAGGUGGGAGACUUGGGAUGGGACUUCUCCUGCAAACCCUGUAUUGGAAAGGUUGAGGUAGAAUAGGCUUGUAAACCGACCUAAGUCGGAUGGAAUUUUGGAAAGAUUAAAAUCAUUGAAGGCAAGGUUGAGUUUUUGAAGGUGAGGAAGAAGGAAGAGAGUGGUAUUGGAAGGGAAGUUGCCAGAUAGCCAACUGCAGCUCAAGUCAAGGGCAAUAACAUGAGCAUUUAGGUGGUCACAAGUGACCCCAUCCCAUGAGCAGCAAUCUGUACCCUCCUUCCAUGAAUUUGUCUUGGGAUAAGAUUUAGGGCCGCAAGACGAAUAAGCAGCCUCUGUUAUGGAAAAAGAGUUCUUGAACUGGAUUAGUAAAGAGCAGGAGUGAGAUCCUGAAGAAGAAAAAGAAGCAUAAAGAUGGGGAAAGAAGAGGAAUAGGCAGAGAAAGAGACAGGGGGGCAUGUUAUGUUUGUAGAGGAAGAUGAAGGAUAGGAAUGGUAUUUAUAGGCAACAAAUAAUACAACAACAUUGGUGUUACAGUCUUUUUUAUUUUCUCGAGUUCUAUGAGUUUGUUUAAAUUCGCCGUGAAUACUCGAUUUUUUUUUACGUUUUUGAUUCAAAUACCGCUAAAAACAUUAAUCGGUUGCCAUUAAAUAUGUCAUUUUCUAUUAGCUGCAAGAAAACUAUCCGAUAAACUGCAUCUUCUUCUUUAGAUGAAAUUUUGUAAAAAAAAUUUGACAUUAUCUCUUAUAUGGUCCUUCAAUUUUAUUUAAAAAAUGAUUUUAACUCUCCAUUUAAUUUUUCAAACAAAUUAACGCAACAUUUUAGUUAUUGUCUACUGUCCAAUAAUGCCAUGUGUAUCAGUACAAACAUUCCCAUUUCUUUUUUUUUUUUUUCAUUUUCCCAAAAACUCAUUUCACUCUUAGCUUUAUAAAGAAAAAAAAAGUUAUUUUAGCCCUUAAUUUAAUUUUUCAUCUUCUUUAACCCUUAAACUUAUAUUGUUUAUCAAAUAACCCUUAAACUUGCAUUGUUUAUCAGAUGAAAAAAUUAAUAUCUAUUAACUUUGCUAACGUGCAUACAUAUGCAACCUCAUUUAAAUCUAAAAAAUAUAAAAAUAAUUAAAUAUGUAUAAAUCUAAAAAUAUCUUAAAAUUAAAACUAAAAUUUUUUAAACUAAUACAAAUUUUUAUUAUUUAAAAAAUCUUAAAAUUUUCAAAUUAAAUUCCAUUUGUUUUCCACCAUUGAAGAACACCUUCAAUCACAUCAACAACUUCAUACUAUUUUGCCUAGAAAUUGUUUUGCAAAUUUAUUUUGUUUAUUUAUUUCUAAACCCAUAUUUCUUUUCUAUAACCCCAAUGGUAGCAAAGGAAAUGUAAAAAAAAAAAAACUUAAAAAUCAAAUUUUUAAUGAUGAAGGGAAUUGAUUUAUAUUAAAACCAAGGAUUACACUGAAAAUACAAAGAGUUGAAGGUACUAAACAAGCAAAUAAACCCUAGCUACAGUGAUAAUUAACUUAACUAUCUACUAUUGGAACCAAGAAAAACUAAAAGAAAACAUGAAUUAAACCCUAGAGUUAUGAAGAAGAAAACAAAAACUCUAAAAAUAAAGAGAAAAAUUGAAAACCGUGAAAUGUUAAGUGUGCCCUUUGUUCAGCCAAUUUUUUGCCCUUUCUAGCAAAUUACAGAUCCAAAAAUAGUGACCAAAUUGUCUUUGAUGGUCUAAUUUUGGUUAGGGGGAAAAGGAUUACCCCUACGGUUAUUUUUUUGUCUCCUCCCAUCAAUGAUAUUGCGAUACCCAAAGUUUGGUAUCGCGAUAUCCACGACAGUCUUGAGGAUCCUUGGGAGUUUUGGGUAUCGCGAUACCUUAUGACCGUUAUCACGAUAACACUGUUGAUAUGCGGUACCCUCUUUCUAGGUGACAUUUUCGAUCCUUCUGAGCCACCAUGGGAUCUCUGCAUCACUCAUCAACCUCAUCAGAUUCCUCGGAUGCCAUUUGGCCAUCUCAGAUCUCAAAAUAGUAUCAAAAUGGACACUAAUCAUUUAUUAGUAUAAAGAACUAAAACUAAAUAAAAAAACGACAAAGAUAUCUAAAUUGCUUGAAAAUAAGUUUUUAAGUGUGAUGGAGAGCCUAAUUUGACAUAUCAAUUUACAACAGAUUAUAAACAUAAUUUGCGGAACCUUGUUAAAAUUUUGAUUUUCUUUAUUAGUUUCUUUCAAUAUUCUGUACGGUACAUUUGUAGUAAUAUAUUGUGCAGAUCAUAGACUACAUUGCUUUAUUAGUGUUCUAUUGUUAAUCUAUUAUUAUUAUUAUUAUUAUUAUUAUUAGCACCACUUCCUUUUUACCAUAUAAUUUUUAUUCAUAAAAAUGAAGAGUUGAUUUACUAAAGAAAGAAGAAGAAUUGAUGAGAUUAUAAAGUAUAUUGACUUGGUCUUGCUUCCUUUAUAUGUAUGAAUGUGGAAAUCGGCAUAAUGCCAACUUAUUUUCCACGCAGAGGAAGAAAAUGGUGCUCUCUUGUCACUCCCUUUAACUUGACAAAAUACAAGACAUGUGAUCCACCAAUGAAUGUUUGACUAUCUCCAUCUCACUUUUUAUUAAUCAAGGAAUAUAAACUUACUAUUUCAACAUUUCAUAAGCAAAAGCUAAAAUAAUAUUGGUCACAUCCCAUAUCUUCAUAAGACAAAAGUUAAAACAGCCUUCAGUUCAUCUACAUUCUACAUUCAUAUCAAUUGCACACAAAGUCAUAUCUGCAAGCAUCAAAUAUUAACCUUUCAACUCCAUAAUAACAACACCAAUUUCUAACAAUUGCAGAAGAAUGUCCAAUCAUUCCACACAAAUUAACAACAAUUUGUAGCAUCCACUACAUUCAUAUCAAUUCCACACAAAUUAAGACUGCAAUUUCUAACUUGUUUAUACCCUCAAUGAAGCUACCUAAAAGAUAUGAAUUUUUUAAUAUUAUAAAGUUAAGUGACCAAAACAUAAAUUUUCUACUAGAUUAGUACUUGAGGUGUAGUUUACCUUAUAAUAAAUAACUAUAAUAAAUUUGUGAAUCAAUUGCAUAAUUAAAUUAAGAUUUUCAAGCCUUUUACCAAACCAAACUUGAAAGGAGAAAAAGAAUCAUGAAAGAAUCCAGUUUUAAAAGCCUUUCACUUUUCCCAAGUCCAAUACACAAAUUCACAAGAUCCCACACUCUCAUUUAUCCUCUUCAAAAAGCAAGGUCCACAACAAAAGAUUAAUUUAGAUAUUAAUUAUUUUAUUUUAAUGGGAUAUAAUUUGAUAUUUUGUUUUUAUUUUAAUUAAGUGUGUUUAAAUUAGUGAUAUUUGUUAUAAUAAUUAAGUUAUACAUUCGGGAAGGUUGAUAAUAAUGUUCACACCAUAGAUGUUGUGAAGAGCCACUAAAAGUGACAAUUUAUCUAUGCUAAAAAGGUGUUUGAAUAGAGUAAUAUUGGACAAUGUCCUACCUCAAGACCCAAAAGGGAUGCCAAUUUAAGACCCAAGGAAGCCUUCGACUUAUCUCACUUGUGUAAGGAGCUAGAGUUAUCUCUUUACUAUUAACAACAUAAUUAAUCAUAUUCUAUAAUUCACCUUUAAGGUGUCUUAUUCACUUGUUUAGGUCAACUAUACCAAAUUCAGCAUUUUAUUUCGCCAAACCAAAAUUGUCAUUUGCCAUAUAGGGAUCGCCAAGCCUAUAAAAGCCAAAAUCUUUUCAAAGAUUUGCCUCGUUUAGCUCGAUUCUUCAAUUUAUCUUCUCAAUCUCAAUUAUUAACGUUUGUCUCUCUAACUUGCCUCCUCAAAUUUAAUCAUUAAAACUAAAUGCAUUACGUGCUCACCAUACUACAAGAACAUAAACUUAUUUAUUUCAAGAGGAUCACUUUAUAAAUUUCCAUCAAUUAGGGAAAAAUUAUUAUACCUCUAUAAGUAUAUUUUAAAAUAUGGCGAUAUUUCAAGAUAGCACCUAUCACAUUUCAAUAAAACUCAUUAUAUAUCUACCACCAUCAUAAUUAAGUAAUAGAGCAUCAUUCUAUAUGGACACACAUCAAGCUCAUUUCCUUUUAUGUUAAUUAUUCACGUAAUUCUAAUUUUCAAUUAUUUCCUUAAAUAUUAAAAAUAACUACUCUGUUAAUGCCAUGUAGCUAUUUUGAUUAAUGAUUUCCAUUUAAUUUGUUUUCCUCCUGACUUGGAAAUGUGGACUUGACAACAAAAUGAAAUUUGAGCAUGACACCUUAAUUUUGUGGUUGGUUUGACGAAUACUGAAGGUUGGUCAUCUUGAAACAUAUAUAAAAUUAAAUGAUUGAAUUAUUGAAAUUAUUAAAUAAAAUAAUUAUGAAAUUAGAAUUUAAGGUUAGAGGUUAUUUUUAGAAUUUUAAAUUUUCUUUUACUGCUAACUUGUAAAAAAAUUAUGAAAAUACAACAGAGAUCAUUGACACAUUUUGUUCUCCUUUCUCCUUUACUGAGCAGUAGCAAAGAUUAUCGAGACUAAAUUGAAAGUCAUGAAAGAAGACAUAAACAACACCACCAUACAAAAUGUUACAUUCAAACAAACCAUUACAGAUAGCACGAAAUGCAAUGAAAGGCAGAGGAAUUGGUACGAUAAUAAAGACAGACACGUACCAAUGCAACCCUUCACCAUAGGCAAAACGGUCUACAGAACAAUAAAUUAUGAAAAUACAACACUAAUUCUUCAACAUCAUUUGCUGUAAUUAGAUCCUUCUUCGUCUAUUGCUCCGAUUGCCUUUCUUUGACUUUCUUCUUCGCCUCUUCUCUUGUUGGUUUUCAACCAAAUUCACCAACCAUUUCGGCUUACCAGUUUGGAAAACAACAUAUCCCACCGACAUUCCGAACACCACUCCGCAUCCAUAACCUAUCAACACCACUUUCUAACCAAAAUCAAUGUUUGAUUUUGAGCCAUCUGUUUCAAGCACAUUUGGAGGUGCUGGCUCAAUGAUGUUGCAACCUUUCGAGACCGGAAACCCACAUAGUCCCUUAUUCACUUCAUAUGAAUCAUUUCCAAAUGUGUUGAAUUGUUUUCCUUGAGGAAUCUGACCAUGGAGUUGAUUUUCAGAAACAUUGAAGGACGAAAGAUACUGCAGAUCUGCCAAUCCAUUUGGAAUCGUCCCAGACAACCUGUUUGAAGAUAGGUCCAACCAUUCACAACUGGAUUAGUGAAGAGCAGGAGUACUGAGAUCCUGAAGAAGCAUAAAGAUGGGGAAAGAAGAGGAAUAGGCAGAGGAAGAGAUAGGGGGCCAUGUUAUGUUUGUGGAGGAAGAUGAAGGAUAGGAAUGGUAUUUAUAGGCAACAAAUAAUACCACAGUGUUACAGUCUUUUUUUCUUUUACGUUGAGAAGCUAUAGACAUUAGAUUUUCAAAAUUUUUGUAUUUUUCACAAUCAUCAACAACGACUUAGUCUUCUUUUUACCAUAUAUUUUUCAUUCUUAAAAUUGGAUAUUAGAUUUUCAAAAUAUUUGUAUUUUUCACAAUCAUCAGCAAAAUCUUGUAUUUCGUUUGAACUGUCUAAACAACUAAAAAAAUUAAGAUUGAUGAGAGUACAAAGUAGAUUGACUUAGUCUUUUUUCUCAUAACCCUUAAAGAAUGUGUGUAUCUAUUCACUUGCAGGUCAACCAAAGCUAAUUAAUGUGGAAAUUCUUUUUCACAACAAAAUUGUACUCUAUUCACUACGUUUGAGGAAGAAGACUGUUGGAAAUUUAAUCCACCGAUUCCAUAAAAACGUGUAUACUUAUAUAUAUAUAUAUAUAUAUGUAUAACCUCAUAUAAAAUCUGAUAAAUUUAUUUGGGAAUAGUUAUUUUUCAUUCGUUAAUUAUUUCUCUUUUAAUCAAGUAAAAAAAUUAAAACUAAAAAGACAUUAUGAUUUAUUUGGCAUUUUUUAACUUCACAAAUAAAACGUCAUUUUAACUUUCUAUUCUUUUUUUUAUCUCUUUUAGCCUUGAAACUUAUAUGGUUCGUUAAAUCACUCAUUGAUGACAUAUUAACCUUUGAGUUAAACUCAAAUUGCUCUUCUCUUUGUUAUAAAUUAAGAGUAUAACUAAUUUUGAUAAAAAUGGUUACUUUUCAUUAACUUAGUUUAAAGGACUAUAACACGUAAAGUUUGGUCUAUUGCAGAAUUCACAUGUAAUGUGGGACAUUUUUUAACUUUACAAACAAAAAGUCAUUUGCGCCACAAUGUACAAUACUUCCACACCAUCUGCAGUAUUGCUACGUUUACUUGAGGGAAAACAAAGACAUGAAUGCUGGAAAUUUUAACUAGUUUGUACCGUCAAUAAAGCUACCUACCUAAAAGCCAUUUAGGAUAUCAAUUCCUGUAAUUGGAUUAAUCUCAUCGUUGCUGCAAUCUUUUGACAGUGUAAUCCAAUCUUAAAUAUGUUACUCUGCAGUGCUAUCGUAAAUAUUACUCUUAAAAUUGUGGAUAGAUAUAUAGGUUUGGCACAAAAUUAAGAAUACACAAAGGCAGGAUGAAUCAUUCCAUGUUUGAACAUCUGCAACAUAAAUGCAUAUGGCAAAAGGGCUCAAACCAUACCUUAUGUUCAUGAUGUUAACAUUAAUGGGAGACAACAUUAAUGGCAAACAAUACAAAGUGGUGCAAGUUUAGCACCCUAAAGUUGACUUUGAAAAAGUGGCAUGGGAUAAAUUUUUUUGGUCCUUGAGAUAAUGGGCUAUUUAUUGUUUGGUCCUUAAACUUCAACUAUAAAUAGGCCUUCUCAUUUCUCAUUUCAAUUCAUCCCAACCAAUCUUUCUCUCUUAGUUUUCUCUCUUCUCCCAUUUGAGAAUUCUUAAGGAAUUCAAUUUGUUUGUAAUACUUUGGAGAUAGUAAAGUUAUCAUCUGGUGUUAGUGCCCGAGGACGUAGGUAUAAUUUACCGAACCUCGUUAAAACUCUUGUGUUCUUUCUUGUCCUAUUUUUCUUUCAAUAUUUGAGGGUAUAAUAGUAGUAUUUAAUUGUGCUAUUAAAUUACUAUAGAAGGGAUAUUCUGUCUAAGGAAAGACUUGGUAUUUAAGAGAUCCAUGUGAUCCACCUCUCUUCCCUGGGAAUUGAACUUUGUGUGAUUUUUUAGUACAAUAAUUUACACGCUUCCGACCCUAUUGGAACAAUACAUGAAUUCUCAUCAUCACGUGUUUAUAAAUGCAACUCAAACUUCAAUAAUUGAAUCUUUUGUAAUUCUACAUGUAUUUUUUUUUAUGGUGAGCAGUAUAAUAUUUACUAAAAAUUGAAAUUCAAGAAAGAAGCCAUACAUAGUUGCACCAUACAAGAUGUUACACUCGAACUAAACCCUUACAAAUAGUACAAAAUGCAAUGAAAUACAGAGGAAUUGGUACAAUCAUAAAGACAGACACAUACCAAUGCAACUUUUCACCAUAGGAAAAACUUUCUGACAGACUACUAAACAAGAAAUUAUGAAGACACAGCAGAAAGGCUUUAACUUCAUUUGCACCAACUAUAUCCUUCUUCAUCCAUUGAUGCGAUUGCUAUAUUUUGGUUUUCUUCUUCGCCUCUUCUCAUGUUGGUCUUCAACCAAAUUCACAAUCCUUUUCGCUUCUUCUGAGCCACCAUGGGCUCUCUGCAUCACUCACCAACCUCAUCAGAUUCGCCGGGUGCCAUUUGGCCAUCUCAGGUCUCAAAAUAGUAUCAAAAUGCACACUAAUCAUUUAUUAAUAUAAAGAACAAAAACUAAAUAAAAAAACAACAAAGAUAUCUAAAUUGCUUGAAAAUAAGCUUUUAAGUGUGAUGGAGAGCCUCAUUUAACAUAUCAAUUUAUAGUAGAUCAUAAACAUAAUUUGCGGAACAUUGUUAAAAUUUCGAAUUUCUUUAUUAGUUUUCUUUCAAUAUUCUGUAUGGUACAUUUGUAGUAAUAUAUUGUGCUGAUCAUAGACUACAUUGCUUUAUUAAUGUUCUAUUGUUAAUCUUUUAUUAUUAUUAUUAUUAUUAUUAACACCACUUCCAUUUUAUCAUAUAAUUUUUUUUCAUAAAAAUGAAGAGUUGAUUUACCAAAAAAUUGUAUUUCAUUUGAACUCCCUAAAGAAAGAAGAAGUGAUGAGAUUAGAAAGUAUAUUGACUAGGUCUUGCUUCCUUUAUAUGUAUGAAUGUGGAAUUUGGCAUAAUGCCAACUUAUUUUCCACGCAGAAGAAAAUGGUGCUCCAUCCACUCUGUUUAACUUGACAAAAUACAAGACAUGUGAUCCACCAAUGAAUGUUUGACUAUCUCCAUCUCACUUUUUAUUAAUCAAGGAAUAAAAACUUAACAUUUCAACAUUUCAUAAGCAAAAGCUAAAAUAUUGACCUUUGAACUCCAUAAUAACAUAAGUUAAAACAAAAGUUAAAACAGCCUUCAGUUCAUCUACAUUCCACAUCAAAUCUGCAAGCAUCAAAUAUUGACCUUUGAACUCCAUAAUAACAACACCAAUUUCUAACAAUUCCAGAAGAAUGUCCAGUAACUCCACACAAAUUAACAACAAUUUGCAGCAUCCACUACAUUCAUAUCAAUUCCACACAAAUUAAGACUGCUUGUUUAUAAAGCUACCUACUGCAAAUUUUGUAUUGCUUGCAAUGAAUUGACCGUCAUUUUCUAUUACUUGCCACAAAAUUGGAAUUCUGAUAAGUUUAAUUUGGAAUAUGAUCAAUUUUGGUUAAAUUGGAGUGAAUAUUACUAUUUCUGUUUUAGCAAUUAAAGCAACCUAUAUGUACCCUUUUACACUCUGCAUUGUUCCAUGUUUCAAUUCAUUACAUCAUUCCUUCAACUCUGCUAUAUAUUAUCACCGUCUCCACAUAACCAAACCUUUUACUGCUAACUUGUAAAAAAAUUAUGAAAAUACUGUCGAAACCAUUUUUUUAUUUGAAAAAUGAGAGUCGACUUUAAGAAACAAAAAUGAGAGUCGCUACCAAUCUUUUUUGAGGUGUGAUCAUAUGCGCAAGAAAAUUUGCUCUCACUUACUCUCGAAAUUUACAGUAGGGGCUUAGGCUACCAAUAAAUUCUCAAUUAGAUAAUGAAUCAUCUACGAGCAACGAUUCCAAACCACAAUGAAUUGAGAGCUCAAACUAGCUCUUCCUCUAACUCAUAGAAGGCUCUAAUGAAUCCGAGGCUUCACACAUGACAAUCACACAAUACUCACAAUCAAAUGACAGCCAAGGACCCACUUAAACUAACCAAAACACAAGCCUAAGCUACCUUCUCAUGUAACCAAACCCUUUAGCAUGAUGAAAUUAAAAUGCAAAUAUAUUGAUCUACACUUAACAUUUUCACAAGAAACAAGUUUCAUUCAUCGCCAUAUUCAUCUAUAACUAAACUCCAACCUUUAAACCACACAAAACUAUACAUUUCAAGGUAUCGACAUUUUUCGACAAGUUUUGGCUAUAAUAAUGAAAAUUCAUUAAAACACGAGAAAUCUUUAAUAGAACUUAGAAGUAAUUUUAGAAACCUUCUAAUCAAGUUAAAACAAGUUGAAAAACACUUUUAAAUCACAUUUUUAUCCACAAUCUCAAAUUCCACUAUUAAUGACCCAAUUUUUGGGUUUUAAUUAAAACAUGUCAAUUUUAAAAUCUAAAUAACAUUAAAAAUUAAUGGUAAAGUAAAUGGUUACUUUUGAUGGGAGAUUAAUUGAGUUUUGACGUAAAUUUGAAAAACGAAGAAGAUGAUGAAAUCUAUGGCAUUUUUGAGUGUUUUUCUUAGAGAUUUAUGAAGGUAAUUGACUUGGGAGUUAUAAGAAAUCAAAGUAUUAUUGUUUGGGAAUAAAAUAAAUAAAUUGAAAGAUGAAGGGAAUAGCAAAGGACGGCAAUAGCAAACUUUGGAGAGUAACCAUCGUGAAAUAGAACUGGGAUUGGGGUUUAUUAGGUUCAAUUUUAAAAAUUGGUAAAACUGCAAUAUAAGUGCUCACUAUUUUAACUUUGUUACAAAUUAUUCCUUUUUUUCUAAAAUUUAGAAAUUUAAAACUCAUUUUCAGAAAUUGACUCCAUUCCCUAAUAGCCAUUGUAGAAAACAUUAUCAAAUACUAACCUUAAGAAAUUUGAGCGCAUAUAGGCUAAAAUUCCUAAAAUACACUCGAAAUUCUUAGACCCUAUUUUGGAGUGUUACACACAUGGUCAUGAUUCAUGUUGAAUUAAUCCAUCAUUCACCGUAAUAAGACUUGUCAUUGUAAUAAUUUAUUUUGAUACGUAUUAUUUUAUGAUGCAUAAACAUCAUAAAAUUUUCUAUUAUGCAAUAAUAGAAUUAGUUAAAUCAUCUAAUAUCUAAAAAAUUAUUAUUAUUUUAAUAAAAUCAUUCAUCAAAUUCCUGUUUUCAAAUUUCAUACAUGAAAUUAACAAAUAAAGAUAGCUCUAAAUAGCAAAACAUGGUAGGAUGGUUUUGUUGUGCAAACUUAGGAUUUCAAUUCUCAUCAAGGAACUUGCAAGCCUAUUAUAGUAGAAAUGUUCUAUCCAAAUGAUAAAGAUGUUGAUGCAACAUUUUAGAUUGCAAAUUCCUUGAUCACAUUUGGAAUCCUAAGCACAGGGACUUGCAAGCCUCUUAGCUCCAGGAACUUUAGAUUGUACCUGUUCAAAACAUUUUUCAAAGAAGGAACCAUAGGCGUCUAUUCUGGUUCAUCUCAUUGAAUACAUCAAAUGGAGGAUCAAUACGCUGAAAAAGGGACAACGGAAAGAACUUUAGCCAAUAACUUGAAUUUUAUAACUACUCCUAUGCCAACCAGCAAACCAUAACAACACAAAUGUUUGUUCUGUUAAGGAACAAUACACAGACAUAUUCACCUACCCUUGGUGCUGACAGAAUAUGCCCAUUCACUUGGGUGAAAUUAGAGUUGAUAUUAACCCCACAAGAUUUCUGCACCAUAAUUACUGCUAAGUAAAACCUGCACAUCAAUUUUCAUUCUUCACUAGAAACUGAAUCUAUUUUUGUAAGUAAAAAUUAGUUGUAUUCAUUGUUCACAUAAUUGAUCUUUUGUUGUGGAAGUAUUGUAUUUCCGGUAAUCCAUUAAGUAUUCAGUGUUUGAUGCAAUAGAUUUGUAUUUUAUUAUUUUAUUUUGUGGAAGGAUCCUUUAUCUAUUUUGUUUUUUACAUUUCUGAUAAGUUUACAUUUUUCAGUAAUUAACUUAUGUUGUUUUUGCCAAACUUUGUAGCGUUUCACUUUUGGUAAAAUUUCAUCCUUGGUCCCUUUAAACUCCUUUUUGCUUUAAUUUGAUUGCUUUCUAGCGUUGCAAAUUACAUGACACUCUUCAAAUGUCUUACUAAAUUCUCACUUCUACGAGUGCUAUGAUAAUCAAAUAAAGUUCAAUUCAAUUUUAAGUUCCAUACAACACUUACAAGGCUACAAAAUGUGUCCUCAACCACAAACAAUCCAAAUUUGCAGAGAAACCACCCAUUAUAUAUAGGUUUGCCAAUGAGAUGGCAAGCAGACUGCUAGCUAGAAAUUCAUGCAUCUUUGAAUCACCAAUUCAAUUAAUAAGCUUAACUAGAGGAAAUAAGGACUUUACAUCCACCAAUUAAAGCAACCUAUAUGUACCCUUUUACAGUCUUCAUUGUUCCAUAUUUCAAUUCAUUACAUCAUUCCUUCAAUUCUGCUAUAUAUUAUUACCGUCUCCAGAUAACCAAACCUUUUACUGCGAACUUGUAAAAUAAUUAUGAAAAUACAACAGAGAUCAUUGAGACAUUGUUGAAGCUGGCUUGGAUGAAUGCCAAGCUGUCCGAGCCAUGCAAGUCGCGGCUGAAGCUUAUGCUGCUGUUUUGCUACUUUCAAAUAGAUAUUUUAUUACUUAGUUAGAUAUGAACUAAGUUUUUGAUAUGCUUGAUGUACUUAGGUGCUGAUAGAUUGAUAAAUCAGCUUUACCAAGUGUACAAGCAAUGUUUAUAAAAGAAUAAUAUUACAUAACUAAACUAAAUAACUAAAUUAAAUAAUAUUAUAAAGUUAAGAGACCAAAACAUAAAUUUUCUAAUAGAUUAGUACUUGAGGUGUAGUUUACCUUAUAAUAAAUAACUAAACUAAAUUUGUGAAUCAAUUGCAUAAUUAAAUUAAGAUUUUCAAGCCUUUUGUGAUUGGUAUUGGACCAAACCAAACUUGAAAGGAGAAAAAGAUUCAUGAAACAAUCCACUUUUAAAAGCCUUUCACUUUUCCCAAGUCCAAUACACAAAUUCACAAGAUCCCACGCUUUCAUUUAUCCUCUUCAGAAAGCAAGGUCCACAACAAGAGAUUAAUUUAGAUAUUAAUUAUUUUAUUUUAAUGGGAUAUAAUUUGAUAUUUUGUUUUUAUUUUAACUAAGUGAGUUUAAAUUAAUGAUAUUUGUUAUAAUAAUUAAGUUACACAUUCGGGAAGGUUGAUAAUAAUGUUCACACCAUAGAUGUUGUGAAGAGCCACUAAAAGUGACAAUUUAUCUAUGCUGAAAAGGUGUUUGAAUAGGAGUAUUGGACAACGUCCUACCUCAAGACUCAAAAGGGAUGCCAAUUUAAGAUCCAAGGAAGCCUUUGACUUAUCUCACUUGUGUAAGGAGCUACAGUUAUCUCUUUACUAUUAACAACAUAAUCAUAUUCUAUAAUUCACCUUUAAGGUGUCUUAUUCACUUGCUUAGGUCAACUAUACCAAAUUCACCUUUAAAGCAUUUUAUUUCGCCAAACCAAAAUUGUCAUUUGCCAUAUAGGGAUCGCCAAGCCUGCAAAAGCCAAAAUCUUUUCAAAGAUUUGCCUCGUUUAGCUUGAUUCUUCAAUUUAUCUUCUCAAUCUCAAUUAUUAACGUUGUCUCUCCAACUUGCCUCCUCAAAUUUAAUCAUCAAACGUGCAUUACGUGCUCACCAUACUACAAGAACAUAAACUUAUUUAUUUUCAAGAGGAUCACUUUAUAAAUUUUCAUCAAUUAGGGAAAAAUUAUUAUACCUCUAUAACUAUAUUUUAAAAUAUGGCGAUAUUUCAAGAUACCACCUAUCACAUUUCAAUAAAACUCGUUAUAUUUCUACCACCAUCAUAAUUAAGUAAUAGGGCAUCAUUCUAUAUGGACACACAUUAAGCUCAUUUCCUUUUAUGUAAAGUCCUCUACAUAACUUAAAAGGGAUGGAAAACAUAGAGCAAAACUCUAUAUAUCCAUUCUCUCCUAAAGCUUUCAACUCACUCUUAACAAUACUACCACUACCAUGUGAAUCACCCUUAACUGUUAACCUUUUAAAAAUAACUACUCUGUUAAUGCCAUGUAGCUAUUUUGAUUAAUGAUUUCGUUUAAUUUGUUUUCCUCCUGACUUGGAAAUGUCGACUUGACAACAAAAUGAAAUUUGCGCAUGACACCUUAAUUUUGUGGUUGGUUUUGUUGGAAUAUUUUCAAAUAUUUAUAGUAUCCCAAUAACUAUAAAUGAAUGGGUGUAAUUAAUCAAAAGAUAAAACUUUUGGUCAUUGGUCAAAAGUUAUAUCAUUUGAUUUUUUAAAAAAGAAUUAUAACUAUUCAAAAAAUAUUAUUUGAAUAGUUACAAAAUUAAAUGAAUAAUUAUUAUUAUUUAUUUAUUCAUAAAGACACCUAUUGAAAGAUGUCUCUAUGAAGAGACAUGAAAAUUCCUAUAAAUAGGAAUAGGAUUUCAUUUGGAAAUCAUAUCAACAAAUUCUAAUAUUAUUUCUUCUCUUCCUUCAUUUUCUAAUAUUAUUAGAUUAUUCUAUAAAGUAUUGCUGCAGAAAUCCUUUGUAGAAAUUGAGUUUUUGUUAUACAUUACUCAGUGCAUAGUGGACUAUUCUCGUCAGUGCAAAACGCAAAUAGUCAUUGGCUUCAUUGUAUCCUCGAGGUUAAUUUGCUUGGAACUCGUUUGCACACUGAAGAUAAGUGGAGGCGAAUAUAACCUUAAAGAUAGUGGCUUGAUACACGCCUUGGAGCCUGUCCUAUUUCUUCUUUUUCUUUUCGAGUUCCGAUCGUGUGUUCAAGUUUUUUUCUUACCGGAGUUUUGUACUAACAAUUUUAAGGUUAUAUUUCAUGAUGACUACCACAACACAUGAAAGUGGAACACUAAGGGAGUUGGCUUCCAACUUUGUUAAACUUGAUCGUUUUGAUGGUGGCAAUUUUCGACGAUGGCAGAAAAAGAUGCACUUUUUGUUAUCAACUUUGAAUAUUGCUUAUGUUUUGGAUACUCCAAGACCUGAAGAGAAUGAAAAUGAAUCUGUUGCUGCAACCCGAGAAAGACAAAAAUGGGACAAUGCUGAUUACAUGUGCAUGGGCCACAUAUUGAAUGGUUUAUCUGAUGGUUUGUUCGACACCUACCAAAACGACGUCACCGCUAAAGAAUUAUGGGACAAAUUGGAGGCAAGAUACAUGACCGAAGAUGUUACAAGUAAGAAAUUUCUUGUCAGUCGUUUCAAUAAUUAUCAAAUGGUUGAUGGUCGUUCUGUUAUGGAACAAUUUCGUGAUAUUGAAAAGAUGCUGAAUCAAUUUAAGCAAUAUGAUAUGAAAAUGGAUGAAAUGAUUGUGGUAUCCUCCAUAAUAGACAAACUUCCUCCAUCUUGGAAAGACUUUAAAAGAAGUCUAAAACAUAAGAAAGAGGAAAUAUCUCUUGAGGCUUUGGCAAAUCAUCUUCGUAUUGAAGAAGAGUAUCAAAAACAAGAUCAGAACCUAAAUUCUAAAAAUGCCGAAGUACAUGUUAUGGAGGAAGUACAGACUACUAAACCAUUCAAGAGAAAGUUCAAUCAGACUGAUAGAGCACCUAAGUUCAAAAAGAAACAAAAGGGCUCAUGCUAUCAUUGUGGAAAGCCGGGACAUUUCAAGAAUGAAUGUCGAUUUUUAAAGAAGAAAUCAUCUUCUAAGGCUGAUAAUAACGAAAAGUUCGUUGCAAUGAUAUCUGAAAUUAAUAUGGCACAAGAUGAUAAUACAUGGUGGAUUGAUACCGGAGCAACCAAACAUGUGUGCAAAGACAAAAGCAUGUUCACAAAGUUCACACAAUGUGAAAAUGACAAUGUCUUGUACAUGGGAAAUUCUUCCACCGCAACAAUUAAAGGCAAAGGGUCUGUUGAACUACAAUUCACUUCUGGAAAGGUUUUAACCUUAAAUGAUGUAUAUUAUGUACCAAAAGUUAGGAAAAAUUUAGUGUCUGGAAGUCUGUUGAAUAAGUUUGGUUUCAAACUUGUUUUUGAGGCAGAUAAGUUUAUUUUGUCUAAGGGAGGAAUUUUUGUGGGAAAAUGGUAUAUGUAUGAAAGCAUGUUCAAACUUAAUAUUAUUAAUAAGAAUAAAAAUACUAUUUCUGCUUAUAUGGUUGAAUCAUUUUGUUUGUGGCAUUAUAGAUUAGGUCAUUUGAAUUAUAGAAAAUUGAAUGACAUGUAUAAAUUAGAUUUAAUUCCUGUUUUUAAUAAUAAUAUUGAAAAAUGCAAUACCUGUAUGUUGACUAAAAUUACAAGAAAUCAUUUCCCUAAGGUUAAAAGGAAAACAAAAUUGCUUGAUUUGAUACAUAGUGAUUUAUGUGACUUGCAUAAUACUCCUACAUUAGGUGGAAAGAAAUAUUUUGUUACUUUUAUUGAUGAUUGUUCUAGAUAUUGUUAUGUAUAUUUAUUGCAUUCAAAAGAUGAAGCGCUUGAUAAAUUUAAAGUUUAUAAAUCUGAAGUUGAACUUCAGUGUGAAUCAUUUAUCAAGUGCUUAAGAUCGGAUAGAGGUGGAGAAUACUAUAAUCCAAGUUAUUUUGAACUCACUAGAAUUGUCCAUCAAGUUUCAGCCCCUUACACACCACAACAAAAUGGUGUAGUUGAAAGGAAAAAUAGAGUCUUGAUUGAAAUGGUAAAUUCAAUGUUAUCAUAUUCAGGUCUUGGACAGGGUUUUUGGGGAGAAGCUGUUCUAACAGCUUGUCAUAUAUUGAAUAGAGUUCCUAAUAAAGAAACUAAAAUAACCCCCUAUGAACAAUGGAAGAAAAGGAAACCAAACUUUAAUUAUUUAAAGGUUUGGGGUUGUAGAGCUUGGGGUUGUAGAGCUAUUGUAAAAGUUCCAACACCUAAACGUAAAAAGUUAGGUGAAAGAGGAAUUGAAUGCAUAUUUAUAGGUUAUGCACAUAAUAGCAAGGCAUAUAGGUUCAUAGUAAUUGAACCAAAUGAUUCAAUUUCAAUUAAUACGGUUAUUGAAUCAAGAGAUGCUAUUUUUGAUGAAAAUAGAUUUAAUUCUAUAUCAAGACAAUUACAACCACAACAAUUGAUUCAUUCUUCAAAUGAGAAUGAGAUUCCAUUGAAACAAAUUGAUAAUAAUGAUGAAUCUUGUCAAGAAUUAAGAAGAAGUAAUAGGAUUAAAAAGGUCAAAGAUUUUGGACCAGAUUUCAUUAUGUUUCUUGUAGAAGGAAAAGGUGAAAGUAUAUGCAAUAAGAUACCUUAUUGUUAUAAUACCGAAUCUGAUCCUAUUACAUUUGAAGAAGCAGUGAAAUCUCAAGACUCUGCUUUUUGGAAAGAAGCAAUAAAUGAUGAAAUGGAUUCAAUAAUGGGAAAUCAAACUUGGAUCUUAGUUGAUCAUCCACCAGGUUCCAAACCAAUAGGUUGUAAAUGGAUCUUCAAAAAGAAAAUGAAGGUCGAUGGAACCAUUGAUAAAUUUAAAGCAAGGUUGGUAGCAAAAGGUUUUACACAAAGACAAGGUAUUGAUUCCUUUGAUACCUAUGCUCCAGUAGCAAGAAUUGCUACAAUUAGACUAUUAAUAUCACUUACCUCUAUAUAUAAUUUGGUUGUUCACCAAAUGGAUGUUAAAACUGCAUUUUUAAAUGGUGAAUUGGAAGAGGAAGUGUACAUGGAGCAACCGGAAGGAUUUGUUGUUCCAGGACAAGAGCAUAAGGUAUGUAAGCUUGUUAAAUCUUUAUAUGGGCUUAAACAAGCACCAAAACAAUGGCACCAAAAGUUUGACAAGGUUGUUUUAGCUAAUGGCUAUAAAAUAAAUGAAUCCGAUAAGUGCAUAUAUAGUAAAUUUGAUAAUGGAAAGGGUGUUAUAAUUUGCUUAUAUGUAGAUGACAUGCUCAUUUUUGGCACGGAUUUGGAAUAAAUAGAAAACACAAAGAAAUUCUUGUCAAACAACUUUGCUAUGAAGGAUAUGGGUGUAGCAGAUGUUAUUCUUGGGAUUAAAAUAACCCGAGAUGAAAGCACUAUAGCUUUAUCACAAUCACAUUACAUUGAAAAUGUGCUUAAAAAGUUUGAUCUUUUCAACUGUAUACCAGCAUCUACACCCAUGGAUCCUCAAUUAAAAUUAGUAUCUAAUGCUGGUAGGAAAAUUGAUCAAUUGAAAUAUGCAAGUCUAAUUGGUUGUCUUAUGUACAUAAUGACUUGUACAAGACCAGAUAUUGCAUAUGCUAUUGGAAAAUUGAGUAGAUACACAAGUAAUCCAAGUAGUUUGCAUUGUCAAGCUUUAAAUAGAGUACUUAGGUACUUAAAGAAAACUAUUAACUAUGGAUUGUGUUAUAAUGGAUAUCCUCCAGUUUUAGAAGGGUAUUCGGAUGCUAGUUGGAUUACAAGUUUGGAAGAUCAUGCAUCUACUAGUGGGUGGAUCUUCAUUCUUGGUGGAGGAGUCAUUUCUUGGGGUUCCAAGAAACAAACAUGUAUUACUGAUUCCACCAUGGCAGCAGAAUUUAUUGCAUUAGCCGCUGCAUCUAAAGAAGCAGAAUGGUUAAGAAAUUUGCUUUAUGAUGUACCUUUAUGGCUUAAGCCAAUUUCACCUAUUUCUAUCCGUUGUGAUAGUGAGGCUACUCUAGCAAAGGCAUAUAGCCAAGUAUAUAAUGGAAAGUCUAGACACAUUGGAUUAAGACAUAGUUAUGUCCGACAAUUAAUCUCUGAUGGAGUGAUCACUAUUAAUUAUGUGAGGUCAAGUGAAAAUUUGGCAGAUCCUUUGACAAAAAGUCUUGCUAGAGAUGCAGUAAAAAGGACCUCAAAAGGGAUGGGACUCAAGCCUAUUAAUUAGAGCCACCCAUUAUGGAAACUCGACUCAACGCUUGGUAUAACGUCAAGUCUUGAGUUCAAUGAGACAAAGUACAUCAUUAGUAUGUGACUGUUAGCACUAUAAAUAAAUCCAUCCUAAGAUUAAAGUGCUAGGUACCCGUAAUGAUAAGGGAAGGAUGAGUAAUGUACUCUUAAUGGACCCAUAACAUAAAUAUGUUAGAGUGUUAUAAUUACGGGAACACUUUUGAUGGGAUCUACCUAUGUGAGUGGAAGUGUGGCCGCUUCUAGGAGCUUAAGGGCUUGGCUCUGACAGCACUCAUGAAAAGAGGACAUAGACACAUGGCUAUAAUAGUGUCCCUAGAUACUAUGCAUUGACUGAUGUUGAAAUCAUUGUGUGAGAUAUGUUCAGUUAAUCAAAUGGAAUAGUUGGUUCAAAGCUUAGUCUACCAUACAAUUUCGAUUAACUUUAACAUGUUUUCACUAAGUGAAGGUUCAAUCGUAAGACACCUUUAUUUAUGCAAAUUGAUUUCCAAGAAUAUCAAAAUCUAAAUAUUUUGAAAAUGGGGGGAGAUUGUUGGAAUAUUUUCAAAUAUUUAUAGUAUCCCAAUAACUAUAAAUGAAUGGGUGUAAUUAAUCAAAAGAUAAAACUUUUGGUCAUUGGUCAAAAGUUAUAUCAUUUGAUUUUUUAAAAAAGAAUUAUAACUAUUCAAAAAAUAUUAUUUGAAUAGUUACAAAAUUAAAUGAAUAAUUAUUAUUAUUUAUUUAUUCAUAAAGACACCUAUUGAAAGAUGUCUCUAUGAAGAGACAUGAAAAUUCCUAUAAAUAGGAAUAGGAUUUCAUUUGGAAAUCAUAUCAACAAAUUCUAAUAUUAUUUCUUCUCUUCCUUCAUUUUCUAAUAUUAUUAUAUUAUUCUAUAAAGUAUUGCUGCAGAAAUCCUUUGUAGAAAUUGAGUUUUUGUUAUACAUUACUCAGUGCAUAGUGGACUAUUCUCGUCAGUGCAAAACACAAAUAGUCAUUGGCUUCAUUGUAUCCUCGAGGUUAAUUCGCUUGGAACUCGUUUGCACACUGAAGAUAAGUGGGGGCGAAUAUAACCUUAAAGAUAGUGGCUUGAUACACGCCUUGGAGCCUGUCCUAUUUCUUCUUUUUCUUUUCGAGUUCCGAUCGUGUGUUCAAGUUUUUUUCUUACCGGAGUUUUGUACUAACAGGUUUGACGGUCAUCUUGAAGCAUAUAUAAAAUUAAAUGAUUGAAUUAUUGAAAUCAUGAAAUAAAAUAAUUAUGAAAUCAGAAUUUAAGGUUAGAGGUUAUUUUUAGAAAUUUAACUUUUUAAUUAAUUAAUUUAGCACAAAUUUUAUACAAGUCAUGAACUUAAUUUCAUCAAAUUAUAUUAUCCAACUUUUACUGUUAAUAAAUUAAGCGGUAAAAAAAAACACAUGUCUUGAUAUAAAAUAUCAAAAUUGAUUAUAUUGAAGGUGGUACAAAUAAUUGCAAGAAAUUGUAAUUAUUAGGUAGUGAUUAUAACCUCUCAUAAUAAAUUUUGAAAAUAAUUAAUGUUAAUUAUUCACGUAAUUCUUCUAAUUUUCAAUUAUUUCCUUAAAAAUUAAAAAGUAACAAAAAUAUAUAUAUAAAUUAUAAUGGUUAAGAAAAUAUGUCAUAAAUAUGUAAUUAUAAGUAAUUACAUCAAAAUUUAAUUACUACUGCUUUCUAAACACCCCUAAAAUUUAAAUAUAAUCAUUUCUUUGUUUAAAUAUGCUAAAGAUUUCUAUACUCUUUUAAAAUUUAAAUUUUAGUCUCCAUGCUUUAAUUUUGAGACAUUGAGUUCUUAUAGUUUUUUAUUUAAAAAUCUUGGUUUCUCCAUCUAAUUUUGCCAUUAAAAUUAAUGGUGUCAACGGUAAAAUAAAUUUUUAACCCUCAACAUAUAUUGUGCAGAUCAUAGACUAAAUUGCUUUAUUAGUUUUCUAUUGUUAAUCUUAUUAUUAUUAUUAUUAUUAUUAUUAUUGUUAACACCACUUCCAUUUUAACAACACCAAUUUCUAACAAUUGCAGAAGAAUGUCUAGUCAUUCCACACAAAUUAACAACAAUUUGCAGCAUCCACUACAUUCAUAUGAAUUCCACACAAAUUAAGACUGCAAAUUCUAACUUGUUUAUACCCUCAAUGAAGUUACCUACUGCAGAUUUUGUAUUGCUUGGAAUGAAUUGACUGUCAUUUUCUACUACUUGCCACAAAAUUUUGUAUUGCUUUAAAUUCAAACAGGAAGAAGAAAACAUGAAAAGAUGAUGAGAUGAGCAUGAAGAUUGCUAUAAAUUUGAUCCACCAAUUAAUAAGCUAACUAAAGGAAAUAAGGACAUUUGAUCCACCAAUUAAUGUUUGAAUUCACUAUAGUACUAUGCUUUUUACUGUCAAAAUCUUGGAUGCAGAGAUUAUUGGGACUAAAAAAUGAGAGUCAUGAAAGAAGACAUAAAUAGUUGAACCAUACAAAAUGUUACAUUUAAAACAAACCCUUACAAAUACUACGUAAUGCAAUGAAAUAUAGAUGAAUUGUUACAAUAACAAAGACAGAUGCAUGGCAAUGCAACCUUUCACCAUAGGAAAAAAAUUGGACAGACUUCAAAACAAGAAAUUAUGAAGAUACUGUUGCGGAAGCGACGAUAAUAUUAAUAACAAUAUUAUCAGAAAUAUUUAGAUAAUUAUUAUGCCAACAAUUAUACUAAGAAAAUUCCCAGUUAAAUUGGAGGGGUCACAAAUGGUCCCGCUUAAAACCCAACAACUAGACAGAACUCACUUAGAUAUUUAUAGCAAUAAUAACUAAAUAAAUAUAACCAACAUAAAGCUAUUAAAUAUAAGCAAACAAAUAAGAAAUAAAAUACCAGAGAUUUAACGAGGUUCGGCCAAUUUAGCUUACGUCCUCGGACACUACCAAAUCAAUAUUUCUACUAGAAAUAUUACAAAGGAGAAGAUUUUUUGGGAUGAUACAACCAAAGGGGGAGGGGUUCUAUAUAUAACAAACCAAACCCCCUCCCUUUCUAUCUUUUCCUAAUGUGGGAUAUUGCCAAUAUUCAACAAAUCUCCACCUUGGCGAUAUUCCACAUCUUCGAACAUCUUCUCAUAACACUAACUUCAAUAGUGUCUUCAAAUUUGCAACCAAUCGCCUUCUUCCCUUUUGGUAGUUGUGCCAGCUUCCACGUCUUGUUUUUCUCUAGAGAUUGCAUUUCCUCUUCCAUUGCACCUAACCAUCUAUUAUUCUCUAAACUCUGAAUGGCUUUGGUGUAAGUGGAUGGAAUAUUAUCAACAACUGGAAGUGCAUAAGCUACCAUGUCAGUGAAACGAGCAGGUUUCUGAAUUUCUCGUCUCUGCCUUCUGACUGCAAUUGGCUCUGAUUGCUGUUGAGGUUCUUGGGUAGAAACCUCUUCCUCAUCUGACUCUGCAUCUGCCAAUGAAGAAUCACUAGUGGUACCUUCUGCUGGAAUUACCACACUCUGCUCAAACUCCACCUGCUGCGGAGUACACUCCACCUGCUGCGAAGUACUACUCACUCCUUCUGGAUUUACCUUAUUCAACAUGGCAGAUUCAUGAAAGGUAACAUCCCUACUGAUUAUCGUCUUCUUUGCCUCUAGACACCACAAACGAUAUCCCUUAACACCAGCAUUGAAGCCCAUGAAUAGAGCCUUCUUUGCUCUUGGAUCUAACUUUGAUUCUUUCACAUGAUAAUAUGCAAUAGAACCAAAAAUGCGCAAGGUGUCAUAAUCAGUAGCAGGUUUUCCAUACCAUUUUUCCAAAGGAGUCUUGCCAUUUAUAGCAGAUGAUGGCAAAUGAUUGAUGAGAUGUUGAGCGUACGUCACAGCCUCAGUCCAAAACUUUCUAUCUAAUCCAGCAUUAGAUAACAUACAUCGAACUUUCUCCACAAGCGUUCGAUUCAUUCGCUCUGCCACCCCAUUCUGUUGCGGUGUUCCACCUACGGUGAAGUGCCUUACUAUGCCACAAUCUUGGCAUAUCUUCAGGAAAGGAUCGCUUUUAUAUUCUCCACCGUUGUCUGAUCGGAGAACCUUAAUCUUCCUUCCUGUCUGAUUUUCAACUUUAGUUUUCCACUUAAGGAAAACUUCAAGCACCUCAUCUUUGUUCUUCAUAGGAAACACCCAAACUCGUCUGGAAAAAUCAUCAAUAAAGGUGACAAAAUAACGUCUUCCUCCAAGUGAUGGAGUCUUGGACGGUCCCCAUACAUCAGAAUGCACAUAAUCCAGAAUACCUUUAGUAUUGUGAAUCCCAGUGCCAAAUUUCACCCUUCGUUGUUUUCCCAGAACACAAUGCUCGCAAAAUUCAAGUUUGCAAGUCUUUGUACUUUUCAAUAAUCCUUGCUUGGCUAGAGUUUGCAAGGAUUUUUCACCAGCAUGGCCCAAACGCAUAUGCCACAGCUGUGUUGCCUCAGCGUCCUUCUUGGUACUCGAAAUUGCUGCUGCUGUUGUCCCGACCACUGUACUACCUUGGUAGUAAUACAGAUUGUUCUUUCUUAUGCCAUUCAACAUCACCAAUGCUCCUGAAGUUGCUUUAAGAACUCCAUCUCGUAUUGUCACAACUAGGCCUUUAGAUUCUAACGACCCCAAAGAGAUGAGAUUCUUCUUCAACUUUGGGACAUAUCGUACAUCCCGCAAAAUUCUAGUAGAUCCAUCAUGACUCCUCAGUUUAAUUGAACCUAUCCCGGCUAUUUUACAUGUGUUAUCAUUACCCAUGUAAACAACCCCUUCAUCUAGUUUUUGAAAUUCAAAGAACCAUUCCCGAAUGGGACACAUAUGAUAGGAACAACCAGAAUCCAUGAUCCACUCAUCUGCAUAUAAUGUUGAAGAUGUCAUACUAAGAGAAAAGUUUGACUCUGCUUCACUAUUGCAUUUUGCAACAUUUGCAUCUUGCGGAGUCUUCCCUUUUUUCUUCAAUUUUGGACAAUCUUUCUUCCAAUGUCCUUUUUCUUUGCAAAAGGAACAUUCAUCUUUGGCAACAGCUCGACCUUUGGACUUUCUUCUCUUCCCAUUAGACUGACUUUGCUGACGACCUCUUGUUACCAAUGCUUCCACUGCUGCUUCACCUGAACCUUUCAACUUAUCCUUUCGGCGUAAUUCAUAGCUAUACAAUGCAGCAGUUACUUCAUUGAAAGUUACUUCCGAUUUUCCAUGAAGUAGAGUAGUUUCAAGGUACUCAAACUCCUCAGGAAGCGAUCCCAACAACAUUAACGCCAAGUCUUCGUCUUCAAAAGUCACAUCCAAAUUCAACAAAUCAGCCACCAGCUGAUUAAAAUUGGUAAUGUGCUCGUUCAUCGUGGUACCAGGAACAUAAUUGAAACGAAACAGUCUUUUCAUCAUAUGCAACUUAUUUUGACUGUUCUUCUUCAAGAAUUUCUCCUCCAAUGCUUUCCACAAUUUACUUGCAGAAGUCUCUUUACUGAAUGUAUACUUCUGCUCUCUGGAAAGACAUGAUCGAAUUGUACCACAUGCCAAUCGGUUGAUGGUCUUCCAUUCUUUAUCAUCAACCCCUUCUGGUUUUUCUUCCUCAAUGGCAAUAUCUAGACCCUGUUGAAAGAGGGCAUCUAGAAGCUCACUUUGCCACAUGCCAAAAUGACCUGUUCCAUCAAAAAUUUCCACUACAAAUCUCGUAUUUGCAGUUCCAAUCCUCGGCAAAAUGUACGAAGUGGAAGUUGUUGAUAUGGAUGGUUUUUCUUCUGUCAUUUUUGCCAUAGCUUCUACUUAAUAGCCACCAAAUGCAGAAUACCCACAAGCUUUAGGAAAUGUUUCUGAUGUGUAAGAUCAGACUAAGCUGCAAACACAGAGCAUACUACAAAACCUUGGCUCUGAUACCAAUUGUUGCGGAAGCGACAAUAAUAUUAAUAACAAUAUUAUCAGAAAUAUUUAGAUAAUUAUUAUGCCAACAAUUAUACUAAGAAAAUUCCCAGUUAAAUUGGAGGGGUCACAAAUGGUCCCGCUUAAAACCCAACAACUAGACAGAACUCACUUAGAUAUUUAUAGCAAUAAUAACUAAAUAAAUAUAACCAACAUAAAGCUAUUAAAUAUAAGCAAACAAAUAAGAAAUAAAAUACCAGAGAUUUAACGAGGUUCGGCCAAUUUAGCUUACGUCCUCGGACACUACCAAAUUAAUAUUUCUUCUAGAAUAUUACAAAGGAGAAGAUUUUGGGAUGAUACAACCAAAGGGGGAGGGGUUCUAUAUAUAAAUAUCUAAGUGAGUUUUGUCUAGUUGUUGGGUUUUAAGCGGGACCAUUUGUGACCCCUCUAAUUUAACUGGGAAUUUUCUUAGUAUAAUUGUUGGCAUAAUAAUUAUCUAAAUAUUUCUGAUAAUAUUGUUAUUAAUAUUAUCGUCGCUUCCGCAACAAUUGGUAUCAGAGCCAAGGUUUUGUAGUAUGCUCUGUGUUUGCAGCUUAGUCUGAUCUUACACAUCAGAAACAUUUCUUAAAGCUUGUGGGUAUUCUGCAUUUGGUGGCUAUUAAGUAGAAGCUAUGGCAAAAAUGACAGAAGAAAAACCAUCCAUAUCAACAACUUCCACUUCGUACAUUUUGCCGAGGAUUGGAACUGCAAAUACGAGAUUUGUAGUGGAAAUUUUUGAUAUGGAUGGUUUUUCUUCUGUCAUUUUUGCCAUAGCUUCUACUUAAUAGCCACCAAAUGCAGAAUACCCACAAGCUUUAGGAAAUGUUUCUGAUGUGUAAGAUCAGACUAAGCUGCAAACACAGAGCAUACUACAAAACCUUGGCUCUGAUACCAAUUGUUGCGGAAGCGACGAUAAUAUUAAUAACAAUAUUAUCAGAAAUAUUUAGAUAAUUAUUAUGCCAACAAUUAUACUAAGAAAAUUCCCAGUUAAAUUGGAGGGGUCACAAAUGGUCCCGCUUAAAACCCAACAACUAGACAGAACUCACUUAGAUAUUUAUAGCAAUAAUAACUAAAUAAAUAUAACCAACAUAAAGCUAUUAAAUAUAAGCAAACAAAUAAGAAAUAAAAUACCAGAGAUUUAACGAGGUUCGGCCAAUUUAGCUUACGUCCUCGGACACUACCAAAUCAAUAUUUCUACUAGAAAUAUUACAAAGGAGAAGAUUUUUUGGGAUGAUACAACCAAAGGGGGAGGGGUUCUAUAUAUAACAAACCAAACCCCCUCCCUUUCUAUCUUUUCCUAAUGUGGGAUAUUGCCAAUAUUCAACAGAUACAACGUACACACUUGAACAUCAUUUCCACUAACUAGAUCCUUCUUCGUCCAUUGCUGCGACUGCCAUCCUUUCACUUUCUUCUUCGCUUCUUCUCAUGUUGGAUUUCAACCAAAUUCACCAACCAUUUCGGCUUACCAAUUUGGAAAACAACAUAUCCCACGACCAUUCCAAACACUACUCCGCAUCCAUAACCUAUCAACACCAAUUUCCAACCAAAAGAGAUGUUUGAUUUUGAACCAUCAUGCAUCAUUUACUUUGCAAACAAUUUCACAAGUAACCAAUCAUCAUCUUUAUUCAGUCCUACGUAUCAGUUGUAGUAGUUCAACCACUUCUUAUCAUUAAAACAUGCCAUACAUACACUAAGGGUAUUAAAAACAUCAAUCAAACCUAGAAAUAGGCCCAGUUGCAAAAUUUCUAAAACUGUUACAUAGGUAUUGAUACUGUCCUAGGGCUAUCCAUAUUUUUUUUAAGUGGUAUUGAUAUCACAUGGAAAAUCAAUACUAAACUAGCAUUCUAUCUCUCACCAAAUAUCAAAACAUAAAAAAUUAUUGGUACCUUUCGCAAGGUAUCAAUAAACUUACCCGAAGUAUUGAUUCCUGGGCUGAAGUAUCGAUACCAAAUACAUAUUUUGUUUCCCUGUACCUUCGAAAAUGCAAAGAUACCCUUUUUAGAAAAUAAAAUAUCGAUACCUCCACUACAGGCUAUAAAAUCUUAGCAUACUCCAACAUUAAAACCAUUCAAACUUAAUCCCAAACAACAUGCUUCAUUCACAUAGUUAAAGAACAGUGUAAUCGAAUGUUAAAUAUGUUACUCUGCAAUGCCGUUGUAAAUAUGACUGUUAAAUUUGUUGAUAGCUAUACUGGUUUGGCACAAAAUUAAGAAUACACAGGCAGGUUGAACUAUUCCAUGUAUGAACCUUUGCAACAUAAAUGCAGAUGGCACAAAGACGCAAACCAUACCUUAUGUUCUUGAAUUCUCAUCAUCACAUGCUUAUAAAUGCAACUCAAGCUUACCUAAUUGAAUCUUUUGGUAAUUCAAAAUGUAUUUUUUUUUGUAGUGAGCAGUACAAGGACAUUAGAUCCACCAAUUUCUGUUUGAAUUCAUUACGUCAUUCAGCUCUGCUAUGUACUAUUAUUUCCAAAAAUCUUGAAAGGAGACAUCCUCCAAUUUAAAGACAAGAAAUGAGAAAGAAUGGCAGUGAAUAAAUAAGGAAAAACCAUGUAUAUUCAGAACCACAAUAAAACAAAUAUUUUAUAUGUAUUUUCUCAAUCGUAUUAGUGAAAUGCUAUAAAUUUUGUAACAAUUUUUUACUAAAUAUAAAAUAUUAAAAUUAAUACAUAUGGUGAUAUUGGAUAUACAGAGAAGACCCAAGCAUGAAGUUUGAGCGGGUCCUUGUACUCUGCAAUCUUGUGGUAAAUCCUUGAACUACAUUUAUGAAUACUAAAAUAUUAAUUACCUCACUAAUUGAUGAAUCCUGAAAGUGCUCUUACGUUUUCUUAUAAAAGAACAAAGAUUACCUUGAAUAUUUGAAUUCAUUACAUCAUUGAGCUCUGCCAUGUUUUAUUACUAUGACCAUAUAACUUCAUCCUUUAAGCUUGUACAGCUAAUUGUCGAUUCACUUCACAUGCUCUUUUAUCCUUUCAUGGUCGGUCCAACUUAAUCUACAAGCAAUGAGGAAAUUCGGGGACAAUUACAGCACAAUUCCGCACAAAAUAACAACAAUUUGUAGUAUUGAUUACGUUGACUUGAGAAAUAGAGAGGAAAAAAAAACAUGCUUGUCUGUACCGUCAAUGAAGCUACCAUAUGAAUGCAUUCCAUGAAGCAUAAGCAAACAUAUGUACGAGUACCCAAUUUAAGUUCAACUUUAAGAUAGAUUAAUUAGUUUAUAUGUAGCAAUUUUACAGCUGAAAAUUUUCUGAACAUUAGAAUUGUCCAACAUAUCUACAAUGCUAUUUGUACAUUUUUUUAUCAGUAACUACUGCUAAAAUAAUUUCCUGUAAGGCGAGAUUACGGUUAAUUUAAAUUAGCUUAAGUUCGAUUUCUCAACAUGAAAAAAACAUAACAAAAUCCCUCUUAUAACGUGCCCUUCGCACAUUGAAGUAUUGACUAUGCUUAGUGGAAUAAUGUAGAGAUACAACCCCCAAUUGCAUCUUCAUUAAAGCCUACUUAUAGGAAAAUAGGGACAUGGGAUCCACCAAUUGUACCUUAGCUGCUGCCCUUAUUUCACGUCAAUGCAAGACUAUUGUUGUCAGACAAACUUAAUCAACAAACCGUGAGAAAAUUUCCGGUCGACAUUUACACCACAAUAUACAAUAAUAAAAAUUUUGCUCAUAAUGUUUACGCAAUUUGAUCAUAAUUCCAAAAAUUUAUAUAUUCUUUUAAUUUGAUGUAAUUCUAAAAAUUAUAAUAAAAAUGAAGUUCGAGCUAAGAAAAGCUCUUCUAAUAAGGUUCAAGUGACAAGGGGGAGUGCCCACUACUUUGGACACUACCCAUCACGGGAGGGUGAAAAUAAGAUUCACAGUUACUAGAGAGAUUGAAUCCCUUGCAGGAUCCAAGAAAUAUAAAGGCAAGGUUCUUGUUGUAGUAAAAUCUAGCAAGAAAAGAAAGAUUUUGUUGGACGAUUCCUCGCUUCUGAGACAAGUUCGAAUUCAUCAUCCAAGAGCGCACCUCUUUGUGUCAUGCUACAGCCUUAAACAAAGCAUCCUAAUGUUCUUGUUCUGCUGCAAAAAAGAACAAAAGGAUGAAACAAGUUGGGGUGCCAAAAUUUUUUUCUGAUGCAACUACAUCAACAAGAAAGCAGGAAGAAAGAAUCCUGGACUAGAAAAAGAAACUUUUCCUGGAUCCGGACUGCUCCAAUUCCAUAUCUUGUCCUUUCAUAACAAUUCCAAUGGAAUAGAUAUAGAAGGCACUACCUCUAUGGCCAUACACCCCCAUGUACGACACUGUACUACCGAUCUUCUCUAGAUUUAUGAUAGCCUUGAAGCUGUUGAUGUAUCUCACUGGUAGGGGUCCAGAAAAAUAAUUACUUGAGAGGUCAAAAUUUUGGAUUUUAGAGAAAAAAAGGGAUAGACUUGGAGCUAUGGUCAUGCAAGGAACCAUGCAUUUGAUUUAACUUUAGUACAAGAACUUAUAGCUGUGGAAGUGAUACAUGAUGGGAUGAAAUUUAUUAAAUUUCAAUCACCAACGCUGUCAAUUUUCAAGCUUGAGAAAUCAGCAGACUUGCGACGACUUGUUGUGUGGUAUCCUGGAAUUUUUGGGUUGAGAUUUCAAUGAAGUUGGAAGAUCUGUCUCUUAGCUUCGAAACGUAUUUUGAAUCACUCAAUUUUGAGUUCGGGAGCUCAAGUUAUGACCAUUUUAGUGAAGGCUGCGCAAGCAGAAUUUUUGAACGGGAUUAUGACGGGAAUUACAAAUUUCGGGCUUUUAAUUCGAGUUUAAAUCAUAUUUGGUUCGGUUGUAGGUUUAAUUUUUAUUAUAUAUGAGACCAAUAUUGUAUUAAUCAGCUCUUAUUAUUCUAUUAUUAGUUUGUUCUAAAUUUUUUUAUAAUUAUUAAGUAUUUUAAGUUAUUUAGGAGUUUUAUGUUAACAAGAAAGUUUAAUUUAAAACUAUUUUUUGUUUAGAUUAAAUUAGAGUUCUAGUAUACUUAAAAAUUUUAUUUAGAUUUAUUUAGCUAGACUAUAUAUAGGCCUUUUCAUUGUACACAAUUCAUUAUUAUUCUAUUUCUCUUAGAGUUAAUAAAUUCUCUCUAGAUUUUUCUUUUCAAGAAUUUCUCUUAAGUUUCUUUUAGAAGAGUUUUAACAAUCUUUUUAGAUUGUGGAGAUCAUCUUCAAACUUUUUUUUACCAAGAUUUCUAUCCUGGAGGGGAAAUUAGAGUUGUUUGAAAUGGGUUAUAGAUUCUUUGUGUUUGCAAGGCUUCUUAAGACUACAUGUCACGUUCUAUCUUUUUAUUUAUCUUGGAAGAGAAAUUAGAACUGCUUGAAGGGGGUUUUGGAUUCUUCGUGUUUCUAAAGCUUCUUAGGACUUCUAUACGUCACAUUCUAUCUUUCUAUUUAUUUUCUUUAUUCAUUUCCUUAUUGUUCUAAUAUUUGAUUUAUUUUUUUAUUCUAGUUAUUUAUUUUAAUUGUUUUAUCUGAUUUCGAUUUGAUUUCGUUUUAGGUUGUGUCAAAAUCUAAAUUUCUUUCCAAACGUGUAGAGCCCUAAGUCAAAUCCACGACUUUGACAAACUUUACGAUCCUCUUCUGUGUUCAUCCGUCUCAUUUUUUAUCAGGAAGACUUCCCAGCCAAUGAGGAAAUGUACCAUUGAUCUUGUUGUUACCAAGAUCUAGCUUAGCACUUUCAGUCCUUUACAAUUAAGGAUGGUGUCAAAGGCCCUUCUAACAGAUUUCCAUUUAAGUUGAAAUUACUCAAUUGGAAUCCCUUUGCAAAUGUUAGAGGAAUCGUCCCAUAAAACUUGUUCUUCUUCAGAUUCAUGAAUUCAAGGAUGUUGCUCAAAUCUCCAAAACAUUGCGAAAUUGUUCCACUCAAAUUAUUGUGGGACAAAUCAAGAAUUCGAAGAGAACUGGCAUUGCAUAUUAAAGAAGAGACCUCUCCAUUGAAACUAUUAUUUCAGAUCAGAAAGACUCCGAUCGUCGAAGCUGGAAUCAAAAGAUUUCCACUGAUCAAAUUGGAGCUUAAGUCAAGAAAUGCAAUAUUCUUCCAUUGAGUAGAUUGUCAAUUAAGAUUAAAGAUAUUAGAUUAGGAAAAGCAGCUACUUCAUCUGGAAUUGAACUUUCUAAUGAAUUUCUAGCUAUUUCCAAGUAUUCAAGUUGCGUUAGGUUUAAAAUUGACAAUGAAAUUUGUCCACUCAAUUCGUUCGAUGACAAGUCUAAAAAAUUCAAGGACACAAGAUUCCCCAUCGAGUCAGGCAAUAUCCUCCGCAAAUAUUUGCUUCUGAAAUAAUCAAGAACUCUAACGAUGAUAAAUUUGUGAUUGAGACAGAGAAUCUUUGAAAGAGAAUUACCUGAUAGAUCUAAGUACUUUAAGGCCUGUAGAUUAUCAACUGAAUUAAUGAAUUCGGUGGAGAAGGACAUCCACGACAGACCCAAAUGUUCAAGAUUGCUGCUCCGAUUGAACUUCAAAAGAUCAAGAUUCAGGUUUUGGUUGCCUCCCAAGUUGAGGAAAUUUAGGUUUGGCAAAUCAAAAAUGUUUUUUUGGGAAUUUUCCUUGCAAAUCACAACCAGAAAGACUGAGAGACCUUAGAGAAGAGGAUAGAUUCGUGAAGACAUGAGGAUUAAUAGAAGACAUGUUGAUUUCAUCCAAAAACAGAUGUCUGACCUCGGUCAGGUUGUGAACAAGUCCCUCGACAGCAUGUUUGUCAAUUGUUUGUCCAUCAGCCUAAUAGGAGAGAUUAAGUGAAACCAAUUUUGAUAGGUGGGAGACUUGGGAUGGGAUUUGUCCUACAAAACUUGUAUGAGAAAGGUUGAGAUAUACUAGGCUUGUAAAAAAAUUUAAAAUUUAAUCGGUUAGCAUUAAAUAUGUCAUUUUCUAUUAACUGCAAGAAAACUAUCCGGUAAACUGCAUCUUCCUCUUUAGAUGAAAUUUUGUAAAAAAAAAAAAAAUUGACAUUAUCACUUAUAUGGUCCUUCAAUUUUUUUUUUAAAAAGUCAUUUUAACUCUCUAUUUAAUUUUUCGCGUCUUUGAGCUUUUAAAUUUGCGUUAUUUAUCAAAUCAUCCCAAAAUGGAUGAAAAAGUUAACAUUUGUUAAUUCUAUUGACGAGACAUACAUAUCGAUAUCAAAUAAACAAUUAAUUGAUUUUUAAAUUUUAAAAAUUUUAAAAAUAAAACAUAUAUUAAAGUUUUCUAAGAAAUGAGGAAAUUGGAACCAUGUACAGAAGAAUGUCCAAUAAUAUAAACACAACAUUUUAGUUAUUUUCUACUGUCCAAUAAUGCCAUGUGUAUUAGUACAAACAUUCAUUAAACCUAAUUUAAUUUUAGCCAUUAAUUUAAUUUUUCAUCUUUAUUAGCCCUUAAACCUACAUUAUUUAUCAAAUAACCCUUAAACUUAUAUUGUUUAUCAGAUGAAAAAAUUAAUAUCUAUUAACUUUGCUAACGUGCAUACAUAUGCAACUUCUUAUUUAAAUCUAAAAAAUCUAAAAAUAAUUAAAUAUGUAUAAAUCUAAAAAUAUCUUAAAAUUAAAACUAAUUUUUUUUAAACUAAUGCAAAUUUUUAGUAUUUAAAAAAUCUUAAAAUUUUCAAAUUAAAUUCCAUUAGUUUUCCACCGUUGAAGAACACCUUCAAUCACAUCAACAAUUUCAUGCUGUUUUGCCUAGAAAUUGUUUUGCAAAUUUAUUUUGUUUUAUUUAUUUCUAAACCCAUAUUUCUUUGCUAUAACUCCAAUUAUUAGAUUGUUUAGGGUUUUGAGUAACUUUCGGUUUUAAAAUUUUAGAUUUUUUAAAUUUAAAUACGAAGUGCUCUUCUUCUUCUCCAAACCCACAAUUUUUUUCUGCCAAAUUUCAACUCAAGGUUUUACUUUCAACUAUAAAUAAAACAUAUAUUAUAUUUAUAAUAAUCUAAGAAGUGAAAUAAUUAGAAUUGACUUGGUCUUGCUUCCUUUAUAUGUAUGAAUGUGGAAAUUGGCAUAAUGCCAACUUAUUUUCCACGCAGAAGAAGAAAAUGGUGCUCUAUUCACUCCCUUUCCUAGCAAACAAGGCCACAUAUGACUUAGAUAGAUAUAUAUAUAUAUAUAUAUGGUCCCUAAGUGUGUAUAUAUUAAUAUAUUUUCAAGUAAACAAACUUAUGCCUUAAAAGUUGAAUAAUAGCAUCUAAGAAACAAAUUUUCCACCAGACUGGAAAUUUUGUAUUGCUUGGAAUGAAUUGACUCUCAUUUUCUAUUACUUGCUAGAAAUAGGGGAAAUUUCACAUCAAUGCAUUCACUUCACUAGGUCUUGCUUCCUAUCACUGUCAACCAAACUUGAUCGACUAGCAGUAAGGAAAUUUCAGUCAUUUGCAGCAUAAGAAUUCCACACCCUCAAAAUAAUUUGCAAUUUCAAAAAUAGAUUAAUAAGUGUGGUUCAAAUACCAAGACUAUAAUAUCUAUUCACUUCACUUGGUCUUUAUUACUCACACAGAAUGUAUCAUCAUCAUCAUUAUAUUACUCUUUUAUUGUUAUUUUUAUUUUUUUCUUGUUACUUUUAUUUGUUAUUAUUAUUAUUUUUUUAUACUUUCAUGUUUUCUUUUUCAUAUAUUCCACCUUUUAUUUGUUUAUUUCAUUCUUUUACCUAAUUAAUAUUAGAUUUUAUUAGUUGGUGCCAUUACUUAUUUGUUGUUUUUGAUAUAUCAUCGCUUCGUUAAUAUGCACCAUCAUUUUAUUAUUGUUGCAAUUACGUCACGAGCCGUUUUAAAUGUAUUCAUGCUUUUCUAUUAUGCCCCGAAUAAAUUAAAUAUCUACCAUUUUAAAUAUUACAUUAACUUUUAUGCGAUACAUAAAAAAAGAAUUUUUUUUUACCAAGGCAAAUGUUUGUUAUUUCAAAUUUAGAAAAAUCAUGUUCUAACUUACGGAAUAUGGUUGCCUUCUAAAAUUGAGAUAAUUGAAUAUAUUUUAAAAUAAACAAAAAUUUGUUUUUUUUUUUUUUACAUUUGUUCUCAUUUUCGGGAUUUAAGGCAUGGUGUCCUAACUUACGGAACGUGAUCCUUUUUCCCGAUUAAUUUAAAAUAAAUCUAUUUUUGUGAAAACAAAAUUUAAGUAAUAUUGAAACGAAGGACCGUAUUUUAAAAUCUCUUCAAAUUCUCAAUUUUUGACACUAAGACAUUAAUUAAUUAAUCAAUUAGGUACUAAUUUUGGGCGUUACGAGGGUGCUAAUAUUUCCUCGUACGUAACCGACUCUCGAACUUAUUUCCUGGAUUUUUGUAGACCAAAAAUUGUUGUUUUAGUAAAUCAAAUCUUUUAUUAAAACGAUUAAAUUACAAGGUGAUCCGAUCACACUAAUAAAAAGGAUUGGUGACGACUCCCAUUUUCGUUUUCAAAAUAAAAGUCGACCCUUUUCAAAAAUAGUUUCGACAAUGUGUAACAAGUAUUUUUAUUAAUCCAUUUGGAACAAGAUUUUGUUUCCUAAUGUUAAGAUUUGCUGGAGCAAAUAAAUUGAUUAAUGCUUUGAACUUUCCCAAACACUUUUUAUCAUUUUGUAUAAUUAGUAUAUUUGAAUAUAUUAGAUACAUCGUCUAAAACAAUGUCAAUAGUAAUUUUUUUAUAUUUUGUGGACCACAAGGGUACCAUAUAAAUAAUUUUAAAAAAAAGAUGGAGUGAUACAUUUACGUAGUGCUUAUGAAUAUAAUGUUGGAUUAAAAUCCUUAAUUAUGAGUACAUAUGUAUAAUGUUUGAUAUUACAAUUAUCUUAAUAAUUUUGUUUCUGUUUUUGUUGAUUGAUGAUUAUAAAAAUCAUUAUUUUUCUGAAGGCAUGCUUUGUUGUCAAUGACAGUACCUGCACCCUAAAAUAAUCACCAGCUUUAACAACUGCAAGAGUUGUCCUGCCUGACAUUUACUAAAAAAUCACCAGGGAGCACAUUGUCAGGAGAUCCUUGCUGGAAAAAACUUGGUAGGAUGGUUUUUUUGUGCAAACUUAGGAUUUCAAUUCUCAUCAAGGAACUUGCAAGCCAAUUAUUGUAGAAAUGUUUGUCCAAAUGAUAAACAUUUGGAAUCCUAACCACAGGGACUUUUGCAAGCCUAUUAAUUAGCUCCAGGAACUUUAGAUUCUACCUGUUCAAAACAUUUUUUCAAAGAAGGAAGCAUAGGUGAAAGGCGUCUAUUCUGGUUCAUCUCAUUGAAUACAUCAAAUGGAGGAUCAAUACGCUGAAAAAGGGACAAUGGAAAGAACUUUAGCCUACAACUUGAAUUUUAUAACUACUCCUAUGCCAACCAGCAAACCAUAACAGCAUACAUAAAAAAGAGGAUGCUGACUUACAGUUCCUUUCAUUUCACCAAAACCAAUCAAAUCCCUUGCAAUGUUGUUUGGAUCACAACAGCUCAUCUUUCAAUCCUAGAUGGCUCCGCCAAUUUUUUGAAAGCAUACAUGAACUGUUCAAGAAAUAAAUGGAUAAAACAACUACAGGAUAGAAGGCUAAAAAAUUACAAAGAGCAAUGACCUUAUUGUUAAAAUUCCAACGUCCAUUCCUUGGAAAGAUAUCUUCACCAUUGCCCACUCAAGAGAACUCAAAUAGCAGCAAGAUCUCGUAUAAAAUGUAACUCUCAACAACACACACAAAUGUUUGUUCUAUCAAGGAACAAUACACAGACAUAUUCACCUACCCUUGGUGCUGGCAGAAUAUGCCCAUUCACUUUGGUGAAAUUAGAGUUGAUAAUAACCCCACAAGAUUUCUGCACCAUAAUUACUGCGAAGUAAACCUGCACAUAAAUUUUCAUUCUUCACUAGAUACAUAUUGGAAAUUGGCCAACCAUGCUGCUGUUACAUUUUGUGGUUGAAGUGCAUGCAGCUUGAUGACAUGCUGGAGCACAUAUGGUUGCUGUAACAGCAAGGUUUCUCUUUAGUUUCUUUGUUGAUUAAACUAGUUGAAAAUGAACAAGUUGAUGACAACUUGAUGCAUUAGGUGUUGAAUGACUAGUUUAGGUGGCUUGUUUAUGUGUACAAGCAAUGUUUUAAUAGUCCCAAUGCUGAUUAGUGGGGUUAGUUGACUAUUUGAUGAUGUAUUUGACUAUAAAUGUAUGUUUUUUCUAGUUGAAUGAAUGAGCUGAAUAGGCUAUCAGCCAUAAGCUCCCUUGCUGCACAUUUGUGAGCAAGUAAAAAUACUUCUUGCACCUUGCUUCAUUGUUAUGCUCUCUGUUCUCUUCUUUUGCUGCUGCCAAAUGUUCCAACAAUACAGAAUCUAUUUUUGUAAGUAAAAAUUAGUUGUAUUCAUUGUUCACAUAAUUGAUCUUUUGUUGUGGAAGUAUUGUAUUUCCGGUAAUCCAUUAAGUAUUCAGUGUUUGAUAUAAUAGAUUUGCAUUUUAUUAUUGUAUUUUGUGAAAGGAUCCUUUAUCUAUUUUUUGUAACCUAUUUUGUUUUUUGCAUUUCUGAUUAGUUUACAUGAUGGCAUACUCAAUGAUCUCUUAAGUUAGUUAUGUUAGGCUCUUUAACCAUUGUUGUAGCUCACCGUACGUACUCCAUGCCCCCUUAUCCAUAUCUAGCUACUGACUAGUACACAACUAUCAUUGUUCUCACAUCACAUGUGGAUUGGUGGAUUUCUGAUAAUGGGUGUUGUUGCGCAUGCAGCCAUUUUUAUGGUAAGAGACAAUGAUUCAACUACUCUAUACAAUGAUUUAUUAGAUCGUGAUGUAAUCAUAUCACAUCUCAAUUGGGCAUUUAUAUUUCUUGACUUUGUAUAUUCAUAAUGAUACCAUGAUAGCCUUUUCCCCUCUUUUUUUUUGUUUUUUUUUUUUAUCUCUAGUCUCAAUUUUGGGCGUGACACAAUGAAAUUAGAAACUAAAUCUAUUUUUGUAAGUAAAAAUUAGUUUUAUUCAUUCUUCACAUAAUUGAUCCGGUAAUCCAUUCAGUGUUUGGUACAAUAGAUUUGCAUUAUAUAUAGGUUUGCCAAUGAGAUGGCAAGCAGACUGCUAGCUAGAAAUUCUUGCAUCUUUGAAUCACCAAUUCAAUUAAUAAGCUUAACUAAAGGAAAUAAGGACUUUACAUCCACCAAUUUUAGCAACCUAUAUGUACCCUUUUACAGUCUGCAUUGUUCCAUGUUUCAAUUCAUUCCAUCAUUCCUUCAACUCUGCUAUAUAUUAUUACCAUCUCCAGACAACCAAUCCUUUUACUGCUAACUUGUAAAGAAAUUAAGAAAAUACAGCAGAGAUCAUUGACACAUUUUGUUCUCCUUUCUCCUUUACUGAGCAGUAGCAAAGAUUGUCGAGACUAAAUUGAAAGUCAUGAAAGAAGACAUAAACAACACCACCAUACAAAAUGUUACACUCAAACAAACCGUUACAGAUAGUACGAAAUGCAAUGAAAGAGGAAUUGGUACAAUAAUAAAGACAGACACAUACCAAUGCAACCCUUCACCAUAGGCAAAACGGUCUACAGAACAAUAAAUUAUGAAAAUACAACACUAAUUCUUCAACAUCCUUUGCAGUAAUUAGAUCCUUUUUCGUCUAUAGCUUCAAUUGCCUUUCUUUGACUUUCUUCUUCGCCUCCUCUCUUGUUGGUUUUCAACCAAACUCACCAACCAUUUCGGCUUACCAGUUUGGAAAACAACAUAUCCCACGGACAUUCCGAACACCACUCCGCAUCCAUAACCUAUCAACACCACUUUCCAACCAAAAGCAAUGUUUGAUGUUGAGCCAUCUUUUUCAAGCACAUUUGGAGGUGCUGGCUCAAUGAUGUUGCAACCUUUCGAGACCGGAAACCCACAUAGUCCCUUAUUCCCUUCAUAUGAAUCAAUUCCAAAUGUGUUGAAUUGUUUUCCUUGAGGAAUCUGACCAUGGAGUUGAUUUUCAGAAACAUUGAAGGACGAAAGAAAUGGCAGAUCUGCCAAUCUAUUUGGAAUCGUCCCAGACAACCUGUUUGAAGAUAGGUCCAACCAUUCAAGACUUGUCAAAUUCCCUAUUGAGGUGGGGAUACCACCAUUAAGGUUAUUAUGGGAAAGGUUGAGCCCCUUUAGUAAGUUAAGCUUCCCAAUAACUUUUGGAAUCUCUCCUUCAAACUGAUUGUUUGAUAGAUCUAUGAUCAUCCACAUGGUGAAAAUUUUCACCAAUUCCCUAUCUUGUCCUUUCAUAACAAUUUCAAUGGAAUAGGUAUAAAAGUCACUACCUGUCGAAUCAUACACCCCCAUGUACGACAAUUUACUCCCAAUCUUCUCUAGAUUUAUGAUACCCUUGAAGCUGUUGAUGUAUCUCUCUGGUAGGGGUCCAGAAAAAUAAUUACUUGAGAGAUCAAAGAUUUGGAUUUUAGAGAAAAAAGGGCUAGACUUGGAGCUAUUGACACAUAAGGAACCAUGCAAAUGAUUUGACUUCAAUACAAGAACUUGCAAAUAUGGAAGACUUCCCAACCAAUGAGGAAAUGUAUCAUUGAUCUUGUUGUUACCAAGAUCUAGCACUUCCAGACCAUUACAAUUAAGGAUGGAUGGUGUCAAAGGCCCUUCUAACAGAUUUCCAUUUAAGUUGAAAUUACUCAAUUGGCAUCCCUCUGCAAAUGUUGGAGGAAUCGUCCCAUAGAACUUGUUCUUCUUCAGAUUCAAGAAUUUAAGGCUGUUGCUCAGAUUUCCAAAACAUUGCGGAAUUGUUCCACUCAAGUAAUUGUGGGACAAAUCAAGAAUUUGAAGAGCACUGGCAUUGCAUAUUAAAGAAGAGACCUCUCCAUUGAAACUAUUAUUUGAGAUCAGAAAGACAUUGAUCGUCGAUGCUGGAAUCGGAAGAUUUCCACUGAUCAAAUUGGAGCUUAAGUCAAGAAAUUCAAUAUUCUUCCAUGGAAAGUGCUCAACUUCUGUCAAAGAGUUGUGAGAUACGUUUAAGUAAGUCAAAGAGUCAUUCCCCACCUCUUGCAUCCACUGUGGAAUCUUGCCUUCAAUUUUGUUGCAAGAGAGGUCUAAGCUUUCCAAACUUUUAAGCCCUUUCAAAAAUUGGGGGAAUUCACUAAAAUUGCAAGAUGACAAAUGUAAGUCUGUAAGAUUAGGCAAUAUAUGAUUAACACUAGAAGUAGAAUUAGAUGUUAAGGAUAUGCGGAUAUAUGAAAGGUCAAGAUAUUCGAGAUUUGGAAGGCUUGAGAACAUGCGAAACUCUAUAACACCACUAAGAUUAUUUGAGGAUAAAACGAGGUGGGUAAGAUUGAGAACUUGGAAUAUUGAAGAUGGAAAAGGACCUUGGAGUUUAUUAUUGUUUAGAUAUAAAUGUUCUAGUGAUUUGGAUUGGAAUUCUUUGAUAUGCCCACUGAAUUGAUUUUGAGAGAGAAUUAUAACCUUUAAGGAGGGAGCAGUAUACAACCAUGACGGAAGUGUUCCAUUGAGUAAAUUGUCAGAUAAGCCUAAAUAUAUUAGAUUAGGAAAAGUGGUUACCUCAUCUGGAAUGGAUCCUUCUAAAGAAUUUUCAGAUAUUCCCAAGUAUUCCAGCUGGGUUAGGUUUAGAAUUGACAAUGGAAUUUGUCCACUCAAUUGGUUCCACGCCAACUCUAAAUAAGUGAGUUGCAAGAGGUUUCCCAGUGAUCUUGGAACCGUUCCUGAUAAGUUGGAAUUGGAGAGAUCUAAAAACUUCAAGGACACAAGAUUCCCCAUCGAAUCGGGCAAUCCUCCAAAAAUAUUUGCGCCUCUAAUAAUCAAGUACUCCAAAGAUGAUAAAUUUGUGAUUGAGACAGACAAUCCUUGAAAGAAAGAAUUUCCUGAUAGAUCUAAGUACUUUAAGGCCUGUAGAUUAUCAACUGAAUCAAUUAAUUCUGUAGAGAAGGACAUGGACGACAGAUCCAAAUGUUCAAGAUUGCUGCUCCGAUUGAACUUCAAGGGAUUAAGAUUGAGGUUUUGAUUGCCUCCCAAGUUGAGGAGAUUGAGGUUUGGGAAAUAAAAAAUGUUAUUUGGGAAUUUUCCUGGCAAAUCACAACCAGCAAGACUGAGAGACCUUAGAGAAGAGGAUAGAUUCAUGAAGACAUGAGCAUUAACAGAAGACAUGUCCAUUCCAUCCAAAAACAGAUGUCUGACCUCGGUUAGGUUGUGAACAAGUCCCUCCAGAGCAUGUUUGUCAAUUGUAAAUUGCUCAUACUUAUCAGUCCAAGAGGAGAGAUCGAGUGAAACCAAUUUUGGCAG